rnacentral:misc_RNA from 1 species
UGUUGGCCAGGUCUCCUCUUCCC